rnacentral:lncRNA from 1 species
UAGUCCAUCUUGGCAAAGCUUGGAGCCUAGUCGGCAAUGUCUUGCUUUGAAUGCUAAUGGACUGAUAUCAAGUGGCUCUCUAACGAUUCUGGGCUUCAAUGAAAUGGGGCUCAGAUCAGUAGGGAUGAGACAUUGCGAGCUCAUUUCAUGUCCAAUCUAUUGGGUUUAAUAUGUUCUGUCUUCAGCAGUUGAACCAGUGUCGUGUCAACCACACUAGACACACUAGACUUAAUCCAUCUUGGCAAAGCUCGGAGCCUAGUCCGCAAUGUCUUGCUUUGAAUGCUAAUGGACUGAUACCAAGUGUCUCUCUAACGGUUCUGGGCUUCAAUGAAAUGGGGCUCAGAUCAGUAGGGAUGAGACAUUGCGAGCUCAUUUCAUGUCCAAUCUAGGACUUACCUCUGGCUGCUUGGAUUGGAUAUUGUAUUGGUGUUGAUAGGAUUUAUCAUUCUAUUACUUUUUUGUUGCACAGCUGAACUGCUUGUCAACGGUGAGAUUGUUCAGAGGCCUCCUGAGAGGCAGAGAAGGGUCGAGCCCGUGCCACAGAGGGCUGCAGACAGGCCUAGGUACAAUGACAGGACCCGCUACGCACGCAGGAGGGAGAACCAGCGAUGAGAUGAAAAAAGUCCACAAUAACAAGUUCAGGUGGUUUGAGCUCUGUAAUUCAAGGAUAGUGUGCUUUGGAUGUAUUGUACUCUGUAACUACAGUUACUCAGAUUGCUCAAAGGACCUGGUUUGGAAUGCAUGCACUGUUACUAGCGCCCGUUUGCACAUGUAAAAUUUCUUUAUGGAAGCUGCUUAAUUGACUAUGAAGGCCUAACAUUAGGUAUUUCAUUCAUUGCCAACAGCUUAUCCAUCCCUAUCUCUAUUUGAAGUUCAAUUUACGAGCAGUGUAGUUUACAGAUGACUAUAUAGAUGAACUAAUGGAUAUGGUUUUAUGCUUA